rnacentral:lncRNA from 1 species
CUAGCAAAUUCAUAGAAAAUAUUUGCUGUCCUAGUACUCAGGAGGCUGAAGCUGGAGAGGUCAAUGGACUCAAUACAGAGACUCUAUCUCAAAAAACAAAUGGCAAAUAAGUAAAUAAACGGACGUGAUCUCUGCUGCUGGAACCUUGCUCCGAGCUCACCUUCAGGGCUGGAACCAGAGACCCCCAAAGCUCAGCUGAGCCUCACCUGUGACUGGCUUCAACUCUGUUCCCAGGUCCCUCCUGCCACAGAUGAUGUGUGCAGCUGGGCAGGGGAACACAGGCCUCAAGGACCAGCGUGGGACACUCUGCUUCUGUCUGUGCCUUCUGAUCCUGUCCUGAGUCUGAGGGACCAAAACGUAGCCGUUUCGAUGGUUGCUGGGCAAAAGCCCACGUUCCAGAUGCUUUGUCAUUUGUCCUCAUCUGUGACCUUCCAGGGGCCCCAUCCUGCUCCAAUUUUGGCAGCUACUUUCUGAUUCCUCGUGCACAGUAAGGGUGAGAUGAGUUAGAAGGACAAAAGUAGGCUGAAAAAGUAGUGAAGGAUCAGCAUUAACAUGCAUUUUAAUAAUAUUUUUGACUUACCCUCAAGGGUUUUGAAAUGACAAAGUCUAACAAAAUGGUCCCAGUUCAACAAGGCACAGUUCAGAUUCCUCAGAUGGCCUAACUGUAGCUCUCUAGCUGACUCAGGAAACAGUGGUGUCCUCGUUCUCUUCAAUGUGAAUGACAUGUUGGAUUGAGAGGAAAACCCAUUGAAAAGUAAGGUGAUUUUCUUCUAACAACAACACAAACCUCAACAAGCAAUUCCAUUUCUUUCUUUGCAGCAACUUAUUUCAGCACAUGUGGAAUAAUAUUCAUAAUGAACAUUUGUGAGUAUAUUUGCCCUAAAUAUGGUUAUGGGAUAUCUUGCCCAUUUCUGUGAUCUAUUAAAAGUGCUUUAAGAACAUAAUGAAAGUGGGGCAAAGUGGCACACACCUAUAAUCCUAGCUACUCAGGUAGCUGAGGCAGGAUAAUCUCAAGCUUAAGGCCAUCCUGGAAAACCUAAUAAGACCCUGUCUUGCAGUAAAAAAAGAAAAAAGAAAAAAGUGGGACUGAGCGUGAGGAUGUCGCUCAGGGGUAGAACACCCCUGAGCUCUCAGUGGUAGAACCUCAGCCAGGCUCCCAGGAAGCAGCAGGGAGGGCGUGUAGGUUUCCUCUGAAGCAGCUUCUUCCCUGGUCCCGCUGCCUGCUGUCUCCA